rnacentral:rRNA from 1 species
UACGUAGGGUGCAAGCGUUGUCCGGAAUUAUUGGGCGUAAAGAGCUCGUAGGCGGUUUGUCGCGUCUGGUGUGAAAAUCCGGGGCUCAACCCCGGACUUGCAGUGGGUACGGGCAGACUAGAGUGUGGUAGGGGAGACUGGAAUUCCUGGUGUAGCGGUGAAAUGCGCAGAUAUCAGGAGGAACACCGAUGGCGAAGGCAGGUCUCUGGGCCACUACUGACGCUGAGAAGCGAAAGCAUGGGGAGCGAACAGG